UUCCUCAAUUUUAUCUUUCAAAAGAGAAGGAGAAUCCAACAUAUAAAUCACUUGCUCUGGGAAGAACUCGUGGGGUAUUCGGAAUAGGCUCAGCACUAUCUUUUAAUGCCCGGUACACGAAUGGUUCCGAAAAUGGCGAUGCAACAAGUGAAGGAUAUCUAUCUGUUGAACUUACAUUUCCAAGAGUAUAUGGCUUUCUGGAUACUAAUGUUGACAAGAUAUUGGCCUCCAUUGAGCACGAGACUGGUUCGUUCUACCUCUUCAUCCCACAGAUUGAGUUGGAUGAGUUUGAGGAUACCUCUAUCUUGGCUGCAACCCUUGCAUGGAACGAUUCCUCCUUAUGUACAUUUUAUGAAGC